rnacentral:misc_RNA from 1 species
GAUGAAGAACGUAGCGAAAUGCGAUAAGUAGUGUGAAUUGCAUAAUUCAGUGAAUCAUCGAAUCUUUGAACGCACAUUGCGCCCCUUGGUAUCCCGAGGGGCAUGCCUGUUCGAGCGUCAUUUCACCACUCAAGCCUGGCUUGGUGUUGGGCGACGUCCCCUUUGGGGACGCGCCUCGAAACGCUCGGCGGCGUGGCACCGGCUUUAAGCGUAGCAGAAUCUUUCGCUUUGGAAGUCGGGGCCCCGUCUGCCGGAAGACCUACUCGCAAGGUUGACCUCGGAUCAGGCAGGGAUACCCGCUGAACUUAAGCAUAUCAAUAAGCGGAGGA